rnacentral:rRNA from 1 species
GACGGAAAGAAAUCGCAUCUUCUAAUACAGGGUGUGGAUGACGGUACCGUAAGAAGAAGCACCGGCUAACUACGUGCCAGCAGCCGCGGUAAUACGUAGGGUGCGAGCGUUAAUCGGAAUUACUGGGCGUAAAGCGUGCGCAGGCGGUGAUGUAAGACAGAUGUGAAAUCCCCGGGCUCAACCUGGGAACUGCGUUUGUGACUGCAUCACUCGAGUACGGCAGAGGGAGGUGGAAUUCCGCGUGUAGCAGUGAAAUGCGUAGAUAUGCGGAGGAACACCGAUGGCGAAGGCAGCCUCCUGGGCCAGUACUGACGCUCAUGCACGAAAGCGUGGGGAGCAAACAGGAUUAGAUACCCUGGUAGUCCACGCCCUAAACGAUGUCAACUAGUUGUUCGGUGAGGAGACUCAUUGAGUAACGCAGCUAACGCGUGAAGUUGACCGCCUGGGGAGUACGGCCGCAAGGUUAAACU